CUCGGCACUCAGCCGUGCCCUAGCAGCGGGAACAGUACUGCAGUGAGUAAUCUGUACCCUGGAGUAUUGUUUCUGCUGCCCGGGCAAGGCUGGGACUGGCACC
rnacentral:miRNA from 1 species